GACGAACGCUGGCGGCGUGCCUAAUACAUGCAAGUUGAGCGCUGAAGGUUGGUACUUGUACCAACUGGAUGAGCAGCGAACGGGUGAGUAACGCGUGGGGAAUCUGCCUUUGAGCGGGGGACAACAUUUGGAAACGAAUGCUAAUACCGCAUAAAAACUUUAAACACAAGUUUUAAGUUUGAAAGAUGCAAUUGCAUCACUCAAAGAUGAUCCCGCGUUGUAUUAGCUAGUUGGUGAGGUAAAGGCUCACCAAGGCGAUGAUACAUAGCCGACCUGAGAGGGUGAUGGGCCGCAGUGGGACUGAGACAGGGCCCAAACUCCUACGGGAGGCAGCAGUAGGGAAUCUUCGGCAAUGGCCGAAAGUCUGACCGAGCAACGCCGCGUGAGUGAAGAAGGUUUUCGGAUCGUAAAACUCGGUUGGUAGAGAAGAACGUUGGUGAGAGUGGAAAGCUCAUCAAGUGACGGUAACUACCCAGAAAGGGACGGCUAACUACGUG
rnacentral:rRNA from 1 species